rnacentral:misc_RNA from 1 species
AUUGCCCAAAGUCGCACGUGCCUGUGGGUGUCCGCUGGUUCUCAAAUGGUGAGAUUAACCGGUACGGUACCUGGAACUAACCGCUCCAGUCAUUCUUACGGCCAAUCGAAAGAAUGAGGACAUCUUGAAGCAACGACGGUGCGGGCCUUUCUGGUGUCUUCCAGCUGUCCAAAUGCUGGGAUAACUAUAGAGGCACACCUCA